rnacentral:rRNA from 1 species
GACGAACGCUGGCGGCGUGCUUAACACAUGCAAGUCGAACGGAAAGGCCCUGCUUUUGUGGGGUGCUCGAGUGGCGAACGGGUGAGUAACACGUGAGUAACCUGCCCUUGACUUUGGGAUAACUUCAGGAAACUGGGGCUAAUACCGGAUAGGAGCUCCUGCUGCAUGGUGGGGGUUGGAAAGUUUCGGCGGUUGGGGAUGGACUCGCGGCUUAUCAGCUUGUUGGUGGGGUAGUGGCUUACCAAGGCUUUGACAGGUAGCCGGCCUGAGAGGGUGACCGGCCACAUUGGGACUGAGAUACGGCCCAGACUCCUACGGGAGGCAGCAGUGGGGAAUAUUGCACAAUGGGCGGAAGCCUGAUGCAGCAGCGCCGCGUGCGGGAUGACGGCCUUCGGGUUGUAAACCGCUUUCGCCUGUGACGAAGCGUGAGUGACGGUAAUGGGUAAAGAAGCACCGGCUAACUACGU